UUCCUACGGGACGCAGCAGUGGGGGAUAUUGCACAAUGGGGGGAACCCUGAUGCAGCGACGCCGCGUGGGCGAUGGAGUGCUUCGGCAUGUAAAGCCCUAUCAGCAGGGAAGAAAAUGACGGUACCUGACUAAGAAGCCCCGGCUAAAUACGUGCCAGCAGCCGCGGUAAUACGUAGGGAGCAAGCGUUAUCCGGAUUUACUGGGUGUAAAGGGCGUGUAGGCGGGCCUGCAAGUCAGAAGUGAAAUCUGGGGGCUUAACCCCCAAACUGCUUUUGAAACUGUGGGUCUUGAGUGUUGGAGGGGG
rnacentral:rRNA from 1 species